AACAACUCCCUAGCACCACACAUCAAGGCGUCACGACGAUUGCCGCCUAGAAUAGUAAUCAAAUCCAACCUCAGAAUUCAUAUCGAUAGAAUAUAAUAACUUAUAUAAAAAUACGUCACUACGUAGUUCGAUCCGGAAGAUCUGCCACUCAGAUUUUAAAUCCAUAACUUCCAGAGGUCCACAAUAUAUCUCUAGGAUAACAUCCUAAAAUUUCAUUACCAUCCAACGGUCGGAUCGUCAAUUCACAUUUUUACCUAAAUGUGAAAACUAUAAAACGUUAUUCGAACACCUAACCAACAAUCCUUAAUAACUUUCUCAUACGGUGUUCAAUUUUAGGUAUAUGAAUAUACCACAGUGAUCUACUCGACGUCACGGACGUCGACAUAUUUUUAAAAUAAUUUUUUACUGUAGCACGCGCCCCCACGCGCCAAGGAAGGCACGGGUCCACGCGCCCCCACGCGCACCUUCUUCUUCCUUGGGUCGCCGGACUGGUUUUUCCGGCGGCCGUUUUCUGGGCAGUUUUUCAAAUUGCCAUAACUUUGUCAUUUCUCAACGAAAUCAAGUGAUUCAAAAACUAAAGUUGUAGCCCUUGAAGAGACAAAGAGAAUGAUACCUUGCACAACACCUAGUUCGCCGUUGUUUGGCCGGAAAACUGCCUCGAAAGCCUCGGAGGUCGCCGGAAACUGGGUAUUUUUCAAAUGAGUAUAACUUCUUCAAUACUCAACGAAAUUGAGUGAAACAAAAAGGAAAGUUGUAGUACUUGACGAGAAAAAGAGAUUGAUACCUACCUCGACUCCUAACUCGCCGGGGAUUCGCCGGAAAAUGCCUCGAAAGUUCCGGCCAAACUUUGAAACUUUUUGAACUUGUCGAUCUCCGUGUUCUUACGUCCAAAAAACUUCCAACGAAGCACUCCGAGCUUCCUUGGGACCUCACUAAGCUCGCUGUGAUCUUGUUUUAGCCUAAAACGUAGUCAUUUAGAAGAUCAUGAACAGUACCAUUUCACGGGAACUUUGAAACUAGGGUUUUCCGAAGCAAACUUACCUGAAAUGGAAAUUGGUUCGAUACCAUCGUGACAUCGUGGGGUUCCAGGAGUUUGAAGGUGGUCUUAACUCUGUCGUUGGUGGAAGUUUAGGGUGGUUUUGUGGUGGUCCGUAUGAGUUCGAAGGAGAGGAAGAGAGACAGAGAAUGAGAGAUUGUGAGGGGGAGAGAGAGAGAGAGACAGGGUACGGGAAAUAUGGAGGGAUUUGAGGUGUGUGGUCCUACCUAACCCCAAAUCACAAAAUUCCAUCUCCAAAUAACUUAGGAACAUAUAUUUCACCAAUAUAUAAUUCACAUAUCUUAAUCACGUUUAAGGGCAAUUCCGUCAAUUUACAAUCACGAGUGUAAAACUUUGGGACGGGCUGUGACAAUCUACCCACCUUAUAAAAUUUCGUCCCCGAAAUUUCAUACAAUCAUAAUCCACCAAUACUCAUAAAAUGUCCUCGGGUAAAUCUCUCUCAUCUGAUUCUCUUUCUCCAACAUAAUUUUCUACUGAAUGAUUUUCUUCACAAAACUUUUACCCCUUACACUGCCUUAAUUCUCAGUACAUUCUUUUUCCAAUCCAAAGUCGUCAUUGGUUGCUUAUCAAGUCGAAUCCGGAUUAAUCUCCAAAGGUCGAACCGGAAUCAUAUGCUAUGAAUCUACAACAUAGGGGUGGUGCAUCGAAACAUAUAGAAUACGUUAGGCGCCUUGGUCAAUUCUGAAGGCAUCACAAACUUGUAUGCAACUUCAUCGAUUUCUUUAGUGAUCAAAACGGUCUGAUGUGUUUAAGACUUAUCUUGUCUUUCUUUCCAAAUCUCACUAUUUCUUUUCUAAGAUGAAAUCUUAAAUGAUAUAAAUCAUCUACCUUAUACACUCAAUUAGUGACAUAUCCAUCUGUUACUCUCUUUUGCCAUUCCUGGUUACUUUCAGGUUAACUUAAUUACCUGAAUACCUUGAGGAGACUCAUUCAUAGUCUCAGGGCCUACUAAAACUCCUUCGUGAUCGAAUCUUUUUUUUUUUCCAGAAGCAUUCCAUCCACACGAGACGCUUCAUGAACCUUAUGGCAUUAUUUCGGAAAUUGCGCACCCAACAUACUUAAGAAACUCAGCAGUUCCGUAAUCCAAUUCUCUUUCCAUAAAACAAAUAAGUACCGUUGUCCUGUCUGGGAAAAAGUUAUUACUCAAUACUGGAGUAAAUAUACUAACUUGUUACGUUGCCCAACCAUCACUUCACAUUCGAUCGUAACCAUCUUGUAUACAAGGAAACUUGUACACAUAGUCCAAAGUAAUAUCUUUCCAUUUCCGUUUCGAAACAGAAAAUAGCUGUCUCAAUCCAAAGGUUUAUUUCUUUCUGCCUCAAUCUGCUGACCAAUAAAAAUGUCGAAUGGUAUGAUAAAUCUUAUUACUUUCGGAAUAUUGCAGAAGCUGAACAGUAUACUUCGUCCAAAAUUGCUUGCUUUAAAUCCUUAGCAUUAGGCACAUACUUUUUGUUUUCUUGUAUCCACAUACCAUUUGAUUCACGAAUCAUGUACUCAUUCUUUUUCCUUUCUUUCCUUGCCUUGGUUAAUUCUUAAAUUCCUCGUCAAACAUUUAAGUUUCGAGUACGACCUUACCAAACAGGCCUAACUUGAAAUUUAACAAGUAUAACUUCUUCUCGAUCUUCCAUUCUUAAUUUUUCUUCCGUUGGUUUUCAAUCCACAAGAUGGUACUCUUGGCAAACGUGCCAGACAUUAAUCAUACUGUAGUCUUCUCACCAAGUGCUUCAGCUACAACAAUUCACGAUCACCCUGAUCGUACCAUCAUAAUCACUAAGUAAUUCAAUCCACCUUUGUUGCCUCAUAUCAAAAUCCUUCCGAAUAAAUAAAUAUUGGAGACUAUUUUGAUUUGUAAAAUCUUGCAUUCUUUUCAACAUAUAAUGUCUCCACAACUUCACAGCAAGGAUGAUAAUCGUGACUUCCAAGUCACCAGUAGGGUAAUUCAUCUCAUUAGGUUCCAUUUGUCGUGAAACAUAUUCAAUCACCCUAACAUUUGCAUCAAUACAUCUCCAAGAAUAUUUAAUGUACCAUCACCAUAAACCAAUAAUUACCGCUAUCUUCUGGGAUUACUAAAAUACGUGCAUGAGUGAGGAAAUACUUCAGUUGUUGAAUCCUUUGCUCACAAUUUCCUUCCCACUCAUACAUAACCUCUUUUCUCAACAGUCUCGUCAAUGACAAAGCAAUGACUGAAAAAUCUUUCACAACCAUCCAAGAUAGCCUGGUAACCUAAGAAAUUCCGAAUCUCAAUUACAGCUCGUGGUUGUUCCAAUUCCUCAAUUUCUGCUAUCUUUUAAGGAUUCACUUGAAUACCUUAAGAAUAUAUAACAAAUCUCAGAAUGCCACCUGAUUCAUCUAACUUUAGCAUUUGCUACUUAGCAUACAACCAACGUUCUCUCAAUCUUUGCUUCACCGACUUAAUACGUUUACAUGCUCUGCUCUGGCUCAGAAUAUGCCAGAAUAUCUUCAAUGAAAAUGAUAUCAAUUAUCAAGGCAUUAUUGGAAUACUUCAUCCAUCAACUCAUAAAACCGCAUGAGUAUCCACAUAGCAUCACCAAACUUCAUAAGGACCAUAACAAGUCCAGAAAACCAUCUUAUAAUCAACGUCACUUAUAAUAUUCAAUUGGUAGUAACCAGAUCUCAAUUCAAUCUUUGAAUCUUCGCAAUUACUUCUGAGCUGGUUAAAUAAACAUCAGUACAUCACCAUGGAUAACGGUUCUCAAUCGUUACCCGACUCCAUUGUCUAUAAUCAAUGAACAGUCUUAAAAUCCAUUUUCUUCCUCACCAACAAACUGGGGCUCCUCAAAAGUGUUGUACUAGGUUGAAUGAAACUUUUAUCAACCAAUUCUUUCAACUGAAUUUCCAAUUCCCUUAACUCAUCAUGAACCAAUCUUUAACAUAAAUCUAUACCUGGCAACAAAUCAAUAGUGAAUCUCAUAUCUCUGCCUGAAGGCAAUCCAGGUAUACUUUCAGGGAGACAUCAAGAAAAGUCUAACCCUUUCGACAUUAUUCACACUACUCCAAACAACAUCAUUUAGCACCACAUGAACUAAGUAUUUUUGGGCAGCAUUUCAAAACAAUAUCUUUGCUUUCACAGCAUAAAUAAUGGCUGAACUCAUUUCACUUUGUAUGCCCACCAAAGUAACCUCUAAUUAAUCAACUCGAUGGAAAGUAACUAGUUUCCCGUAACAUUCCAUCUAGUCACAACUAUAAACAAUCAAUCUAAUGGAAUAAAAUUAACUGACCCAAUACAUACUUUAUUAUUACUGAACAUUCUAAAUAAGUACAACACUAACAUAAAAUAACCUACCGGUUUGCUUGCUUAACGAAUCCACGAAUGAGUUAUUAAUAUUACGGUCUGCAACCCGCAAUACUGAUAAAUCAUCGUUGUCUCGAUAAGUAGGCAACCACUCUCAAAGAUAUAACAUACAUAAUAAGAAAUAUAUCAGCCGAAGUCAACUAGAAUGAUCAAUACGGCUGAUUCAACUCUUAUCUCAAUAAUACGUCGGCCGGAUCCACUCCGCGUGGUCGGUACGGCCGAACCUAUAACUCACCAAUUUCUCAUGUGUCAGUCGAAUCCAUUUCUCAUGGUCUGUACGGCUGAACAUAUAACUCAUCAAAUCUCUCUGUACUCACGGUCAAUCCGACCAAACUACUAAGUCCAUAACUCUGCUGAAUCGACACUAUGAUAUCAUGGAAAAUUGUUGAGUACAACUGAUUCUAGGGACAAUUCACAAUUCUGCGUCCCCUCUGUUCACAUAAACACAUUUCUUGAUUUCACAUUUCUCAGAGUGUUAAUUUUGUACUUGCUGCACAAGGUACAUUUCCUUUACUCGAGACACCUUGUCUCAAAUAUCUGGAUGGAACGAGGCAAGUCUGAAAACUUUCUAUAAUAUUCAUUUAUCGUCAACUUCCUUGAUUCACAUUUGCAAACUCUUGCUUACUACCAUCGAUAAAUGUCGGAGGGAUAAACUUUUCCUUAAACAAGUCCUUAAAUAAUUCUCAAUCAGCUGUUUCCUCCGGUGACAACAAUUAACAAUCCUGUUUCCACCAGGAUACAAAUUCAUACCCAAAACCAGGUAGUCGUCUCGACCCCUUGUCAGAAGGAAAUUUCCUUUGACUUGCAUAACCUGAAACAUCUUUUCCAAAUGGUUAAACCGUUACUUCGCUCCCUCAGGUUCAUCAUUUCAUAAGGUGAUUCAAAUUCGACUCAUAAUCCGUCUUAAAAUGUCCCUUUUUAUAAUAGACUGAAUCACCAUAAUAAUAGUUUUCCCUAAACCGCUAUAUUAGGGAGACUAAAUUCCUCCAACUAAGUGGCUUACUACGAGGCGGUGUAGUUCUGACAGAAUUCACUAGAACUUCUCAAGAUGUCCAAGAUUGCAACCAUGCUCUGAUACCAACUGACACACCCCGUCCCGAAAGAGGGCAUGCUGGCCGUCACGUGAGAGUGACGUAACCAUUUACACAGUACGGAAGUUUUAAGAUACAAUUUAUAAGUUGAUACACCCGAAGGUGAGUCCUAAUUUUGUCCAAUCUGUCAGAACACCGUCAAAUUCCUCGUAGUCACCACACCUUUGUGAUUCCUGAACCUGGAGGGGCGCAAAACCAAAAUUGAGUGGGUCAGUAAAACAAUUCUUUUCCAAAUCCAAACAUUUCUCAAAACGUUGUAACCCCUCUCCAUAAAACCUGUAUACUUUCCCAGAAAUAUAAAAUAUAAAUAUACAUAUAUAUAUUCUCAAUACUUCAAUUCAUUAACUCAACAUUUUCUCAUAUUAAUUAUGCCAUGCCACAUCAUCUCAACAUUUCUCAUAUUAAUUAUGCCAUGCCACAUCAUCUCAACAGUAAUAAGGUAUGAAUGCAUCAACAUAAAUCAUAUCAGGUGCAAUAAAGUAAUCAACCGGAGGCCCUCUAUUAGCCCGGUUGAACCUAGAGCUCAAAAUCUAUCACUCUCACACUCUGCCGGAGUCACUCCGCGUGACCUGUACGACCUUCUGCACACAAGUUACGCUCUAGUGCUUCUCAUAAAUCAUCUGUGCACAUAAUCUAAGGUCACCACCAGUCGGAAUCUCACUAACACUCUCGCGACUGGCCUGUCGUACCCACUCCGCGUGGACUGUACGACUAGCAUCUACUUGGAUCCAAGACGAGCGUGCGAUGCGGUGAAUACUAUAAGCACUAAACUAUGGUGCAGGAUUUGAGCUCAAUAUACAUCAACAUCAUCAUAACAGAAAUAAAUACUCACCUGUGCGUCCACCGCACCAUUUCAUACAUAUGCAUCAUAAAUCAAUUCUUACAUGUGCGUCCACCGCACCAAUUCAUAUAUAUGCAUCAUAAAUCAAUUCUUACCUGUGCGUCCACCGCACCAAUUCAUACAUAUGCAUCAUAUAUUAAUUCAUGCAUGGCAGUUCAACUCACAUUUCUAUAUACUUUUCAUAUCAAUUCUAUUUCUGGGAAACGUCAAUUAUAUAUAUAUACGGAAAACAAAACUGCCCACUCACCUGGAGUUCGUCCAACAACUCCCUAGCACCACACAUCAAGGCGUCACGACGAUCGCCGCCUAGAAUAGUAAUCAAAUCCAACCUCAGAAUUCAUAUCGAUAGAAUAUAUAACUUAUAUAAAAUACGUCACUACGUAGUUCGAUCCGGAAAAUCUGCCACUCAGAUUUCAAAUCCAUAACUUCCAGAGGUCCACAAAUAUCUCUAGGAUAACAUCCUAAAAUUUCAUUACCAUCCAACGGUCGGAUCGUCAAUUCACAUUUUUACCUAAAUGUGAAAACUAUAAAACGUUAUUCGAACACCUAACCAACAAUCCUUAAUAACUUUCUCAUACGGUGUUCAAUUUAGGUAUAUGAAUAUACCACAGUGAUCUACUCGACGUCACGGACGUCGACAUAUUUUUAAAAUAAUUUUUUACUGUAGCACGCGCCCCCACGCACCAAGGAAGGCACGGGUCCACGCGCCCCCACGCGCACCUUCUUCUUCCUUGGGUCGCCGGACUGGUUUUUCCGGCGGCCGUUUUCUGGGCAGUUUUUCAAAUUGCCAUAACUUUGUCAUUUCUCAACGAAAUCAAGUGAUUCAAAAACUAAAGUUGUAGCCCUUGAAGAGACAAAGAGAAUGAUACCUUGCACAACACCUAGUUCGCCGUGGUUUGGCCGGAAACGGCCUCGAAAGCCUCGGAGGUCGCCGGAAACUGGGUAUUUUCAAAUGAGUAUAACUUCUUCAAUACUCAACGAAAUUGAGUGAAACAAAAAGGAAAGUUGUAGUACUUGACGAGACGAAGAGAUUGAUACCUACCUAGACUCCUAACUCGCCGGGGAUUCGCCGGAAAAUGCCUCGAAAGUUCCGGCCAAACUUUGAACUUGUCGAUCUCCGUGUUCUUACGUCCAAAAACUUCCAACGAAGCACUCCGAGCUUCCUUGGGACCUCACUAAGCUCGCUGUGAUCUUGUUUUAGCCUAAAACGUAGUCAUUUAGAAGAUCAUGAACAGUACCAUUUCACGGGAACUUUGAAACUAGGGUUUUCCGAAGCAAAACUUACCUGAAAUGGAUACCAUCGUGAUCGUGGAGGUUCCAGGAGUUUGAAGGUGGUCUUAACUCUGUCGUUGGUGGAAGUUUAGGGUGGUUUUGUGGUGGUCCGUAUGAGUUCAAAGGAGAGGAAGAGAGACAGAGAAUGAGAGAUUGUGAGGGAGGAGAGAGAGAGACAGGGUACGGGAAAUAUGGAGGGAUUUGAGGUGUGUGGUCCUACCUAACCCCAAAUCACAAAAUUC
rnacentral:lncRNA from 1 species